ACAGAACUUCAAUUCAUCAGUAUGUGUCCAACCAGCACAGUCGCUUCUUAAAAAGCAGCGCCCCCUCAGAAAGCACGGCAGUGCUCUUACAGAUUGGUCUGACCUCGCCAUUUUGGGGGCUGCUGCUUGCCUGCAACACCUUUAUGCUUUUGGAUUUCUUGCCGAAGGCUGGCCAGGGCCGGCCGCGGCUUCCAGGUGCCAGUCUCCCACCCAGGGCCGCCCGACUUCCUCAUGCCCAAACAUGGCCCCGGCCGCCGCCGGCCCCGCCCACGCCAGCUGCCGCGGCCAUUUCGCGAUCCCGCCGCCUCCCUCUAUCCCCCCACCCCCCUCCCCGCUACCACGCCGGCGGCCGCCAUUUUGUAUCCUGCCACGUUUCCAGCGGGCUCCCGGCACGCCCGGGGCUGAGCCGCGGCCAGAACCGAGGGUGCAGCGCUGGAGAGGAGGUGGGGAAGGACCACUACGGACCUCUCCGAAAUGAGCUGACUUACAAAACAGGGCGUUUGGGUGAGGAACCGAACCGAGUUUCACACACACAGCACCUUUUACGCCCGUUUCCAGCGGGUUAUGAAACCCCUCCAGGGGAUCAGGGCAGACUUAUCGCUACGGUAUUAAAAGAUUACAGUACUGCUGCCAGCUGAUGAACAGCCCCCGUUUAUCUACUCCGGACGAUACACCGAGUGGUAUUUACACCCCCCGAACCCCGAUGCCUCCAAUACCCCACUUCCCCCCAGCUACAGCAGCUUUUCCCACAGGCGGGGUCAAGAAGCCCCCACGAGGAACGUGCCGCUCUUAACUACCACGGAAACCCCAUGAAACGGAAAAAAAAAAAAAGACCCGUAACUUUUGGGAAUCGAGUCUUCCUGAGCGAGGCGUUACUCAGGCUGAUGUGAGCAUUAAUGGAUCGCCUACAUAGCCUUGCAGCUCCAAAGGGCAGCGUCACCUUGGAAAGUUUUUAAAGUGCAGUUUCACAUUAUGUUUUAUCCGAGCUAAAUCGACUUGCUGCUAGGAAAGAAGGCAGCCCUCUUCCCCCGCUCUGUUCCUGGCUGUACAGUUCCACCAGCUGGUCUGGUCCUCAGUAACCCAGCAGGAAACUCACAAGGGUCAACAGUUUUCUGCUGGUUUUAGUCCCUUCAUCAUUUCACUCAGAAUACAUUUGUGGCUCGGAGAUUGAGAAGUCUGUCAGCCCUGAAGAAAAUUGAAUUUACAGCGCAAAAAGGUGGCUUCUGACUGAAGAGUAAUUUGUGUGCAUGGUCAAUGAACUCCUGCUGACGCGUUAACAGCUUUAGCAUGGUGGAUGUGAUUUUCCUGCCCUGGGUACCAGCACCUCGGCAACAGAGAGCUCCUGUGAUAAGUGAGAUCCGUCCCCACCCAGAAGCGAGGGGCCAGCCGCCGGCGAAAGGAGCUGCUGGUGCAGAGCUCGCUGCAGGACGGAGGCCACAGUGACCUUGCUGGGGAGUGAUGAGCUGCCCUGAUAAAUACAGCACUGCAGAAAGCCACCUCCGGCCGAAGAGCAGCGUCGGGAGGUGGAAAACUAAUACUCCUCCGUUCACCCUCCUCCUUCGUUAAGAUGGAAGGUCAAUAUAUGUGCGUGCUUGCUUUUUUUAUUAAUUAUUUUUUUAAGUUAACGUUGCAAAGGAAAAGAGGUUUUCUUCUUCCACCAGCGAGUAUACAGGAGAUAAACACGCAGCGUGCUAUGUUAUUAAGUACACAAAAGACAGUGAGGACGUAAAUGUUUCCAUGGUGACAUCUCCUCGCACAGUCUAGACCGUCAUUAUAGGAUGCUCUCAGGGACUCGGGGGGUGGGGGGGAAGUACUCGUGGGCCCCUGCAGCAAGGGAGCGAGGCGGGGGGGCAAGUACGUGGUGCUGGGGCCAGGAGGGUAACCGACAACAGUAAUGGAGAUGUUUGCUCCUUCCUGGAGUGCUGGGAGAGCUGCAGCCAGGGAGAAGGGCUGGCAGAUGCUGCAUCACCACCCCCUUGGUGGCACCGGGCAGGUGGCUUUGGGCCCCCACUGAGCCUCAGUGGCCCGGUGAAGGGUCAUAUGGGCUUUUGGCUGGCCCUGGGCCCUACUGGGGUGGCUGGGGAGGAGGGGGCAUUGCCGGCUUUGCAGAAGGAUGAGUGUGAGGGCAAGUCCCCAAGGGGAUUCUUGUGAUAAUUUCUUGUCCUUUGAACCUUCCAUCAGAAGGGACAGGAAGCCUUACCCUGGCACUUCAAUCAGCAAAGCAUUUCCAGAGACCAGCAGGAAUUUUUCCUGGAGACAGAGUGCCGAGGGAAACACAACAGAGGAAUGAGGCGAAGCAGCUAUACGUUUUGAGCAAUUUCGAGGGAGAAUUACCUACAGCCUCUAUGGCACAGGCUAAUUCGCAGUGCUCGGCUGCUUCUCUCCUCAUGCGGCACAAACUGAUAUCUGAAGGAUCUUUUCUACCAGAUUCUCAUCGUAAGCUCUUUAGGAAUUGCUUAUAGAUGUUCCAUUUUAAAGCUAGAUUGAAAAGCAAAUAUAUGUGAAUAAAGACCAGGCUGGGAGGUAUUAGCAUCCAUCUUUUAUUACAUACAAACAGAAAAUAAGUUAGCCAUAUGCUCUGCCUCAUUUGUUUUGGACACUAGCACACCAAAUGGAAUCUCUAAUAAAUCUUUCAUUGCUUACCCACCCCCUCACUGUCUUCUGUUUCCAUGCUGUUAUGUAAAUAUCACUGACAUUUGAAAUGAGACUAAUAAAAAAAAGGAUAAAAUCUGCAAUUUACAUUUGCAACUUACAGUUCAAUUAUUUUAGACAGAUAUGGAAACAAUCCUGGUUGUCCACCUACAUUUUUCUUACUGAACAAACGUGGGCAUGCCAAGCACAUGCCGAUAGCUCACAAAAUAUGGCUCUCCAGAGGCUUAGUUACUCAGAAUCAGCCAGGCUGUAGCCAGCUGCCACAUGUAAAAACAUUGUGCAAAUCUGGUAAGAGGGAGGUAAGUUUUAACUUGUAACUUGCCCAAGCGUGAAUUUCCUGAGCAAAGCUACAACUGGUUGAAAAUGAUGUUUAGCAAAAAAUAUGUGUGCAGGGGGGUAGGAGGGGAUGCUGACUUUUGUUCAGACCAUUGGGGGAUUUUUUUUUGGUUUUGUCAUUGUCCAGCCUUGUUUUGUUAUGACGAAAGUGCUUGGGGGUCAAGAAUUAUCCCUCGUGUGUAUUAGCACAUGUGGGAGCAGUUUAGCCCACAAACAAAAGCCUUCCAGUUGUCCAAGCAAUAACAGAACAGAAACAUGUCUCAUGGCAGCUCUUGUUCCUCACGGGGCUGUAGUUAACGUGGCCCCUGAUGCAGGCUGUGAGUUCAGUGUCUAUCAGAAUGUAGGUAUCUGUACCUCACCAGCAUUUGCUGGAGUCACACGUGCCAGGUGCCUUGUGCCUUCCUGUGCGAAAGGAUGAAGAUGAGAGUGGCAACGCACAUUCCUUCUUUUUCUAGCAGUGCAAAGUUAGCAAGAACCGAGGCCUGAAGAGCGGGUACGGCUUAAGAGACUGCAGCAUCUCAGGCAGCCACAGACACCAGUGGGUGAGUUAACAGCCCAUCGCCGUUUCAGUGGAUUUCUCUUUCACUGUCUCGGUGCCCCUUAGACUUGUCAGAACAAGGACACCUUGCAGCAUCAGUCCAACGGCAAUUACGCUGCUCUCCUGAACCUGGCAUCUAAACUAGCAGCUUUGGCUGAGGCAUGUGGAAAAGUUACUUGAGCUUGAGUUAUUUCAGCCUCUCUGUUCAGUGAGGGGGGAUGCACGAUGAAAGGCUCAUAAUACCAGACUAUGCUCUGCGUGCUCCAUCUGGGGAUUUGUUUUUCACUUCACAUAACUUCAGAGUGUCUUGAUAAGGCCAGGAAGAGAGACUGUGAAUGGGUACACCCUAUUAAUGAAAUCAAACAGGAUCCUGGGGAUAUCUCGUGUGCGUGUGAGAUCUCUUUGUCUCUGAUGCUGGCAGGCAACUUCAGCAGGAACACUGACAAACCAUGUAGUUCAGACAAAGCUCUGAAACUCAUCUGGGGAUAAAUCACCUUUGAGGCUAUAGCUCCCCAGGUCCCUGGGGAGGAACACUGCAGACAUUAUUCAGUAAUAUUUCUCAGCUCUUUGUAGGCAGCAGCUGCUUGGUGGAUGAAAUGUACCAGUAGACUUCGAUCUGUUUUAAUACAUACUUGUUUACAGAGGAGGAGAAACUCCUGGCGGUUGUUGACGCAGUAGUGAUAUCAUUCAGUUUAUAGCUUUUUCCUGAACGACUGUCAUUUUCCCUCCUAAGGUCUCUGUUAGGAGAUUUGGCAAAGGAUGCCAGAUGCUUUCAGAAAAGAUGCUUUCAGAAGAUGCUUUGAGACUGCUCUGCUCCCUGCACUUGCGCAUGGGCUUGCGGGUGGCCUCCAGCAGAGCUUCCUCAGAUGUGUUACAGGGGUACCGGCCAUUGGCAAGCUGGAGAAUAGUCCCCAGAGAGGACUUUGUGGCCAAAGUAUCAUAUUGUGCUGUAGCUUCUCAAUCCACUGCGCUCCUUACUGAUUCACUGUGGUGCUUGGUGAGGGAGGUUUGCAGUUUUCUUAACAGGAGGAGGUUUCUGUGCUUG